rnacentral:rRNA from 1 species
CCUGAGAAACCCAAAAGAUCGAUCGGGGAGAUUCAUCGUCAGCGAUCCCGGCGUGUGGCAAGGUACACGAUGCCGCGGGACUUCGGUCUCGUGGCACGCGUCCUUCCAUCUCAGCCGGGUGUCGUCGGCGUGCACUUCUCCCCUCGUAGGACGUCGCGACCCGUUGGGUGUCGGUCUACGGCCCGUGUGGUAGUCUGUCGUGCGUCGCGCCUCGUGCCGACAUGCGGCAGACCCCGGUUGCCCGAUCGGCUGCCCGGCGGUACUCGCACGGUAUCGAGCCGCAAAUAUUCGAACUGCGUCCGGCCCGCCGCAAGCGAGGUCAGUGUUUCCCGGAUGUGCGGACCUAGCGCCGUCACCGGGCCUGGCCAGCUGUUGGUCGGCGGUGUCCUGGGACUGGCUCACAAAUAAGAUACCGGUCGGCGACGCUACUGCUUUGGUACUUUC